rnacentral:rRNA from 1 species
GAUGAACGCUGGCGGCGUGCUUAACACAUGCAAGUCGAACGAUGAAGCCCAGCUUGCUGGGUGGGUUAGUGGCGAAAGGGUGUGUAUAACGUGAGUAACCUGCCCUUAACACUGGGAUAAGCCUGGAGAACUGGGUCUCUUACCGCAUAGGAGCGUCCCCGGCACGGUGGGUGUUGUAGAGAUUUACCGGUUUUGGAUGGACUCGCGGCCUAUCAGCUUGUUGGUGUGGUAUUGGCUCACCAAGGCGCCGACGGGUAGCCGGCCUGAGAGGGUGACCGGCCACACUGGGACUGAGACACGGCCCAGACUCCUACGGGAGGCAGCAGUGGGGAAUAUUGCACAAUGGGCGGAAGCCUGAUGCAGCGACGCCGCGUGAGGGAUGACGGCCUUCGGGUUGUAAACCGCUUUCAGUAGGGAAGAAGCGAAAGUGACGGUACCGGCAGAAGAAGCACCGGCUAACUACGUG